rnacentral:lncRNA from 1 species
GUGAGGUUUGAUAUUUGGGUUAGGGUCACUGAGAGUCCAAUUGGGGUUGAAAACAAGGUAUGAGGACUAAUGUAGUUCGGGUUAGUGAGGUAUUUAGGGUAUUAAGGAGUUGGUCUAAGAGUGACGGUGAAGGUGGUGAAGGACUGAAAGUGGGGAAUGGUCUAAGGGCUUGGUUUAACGGGUUUAGGUUGUGGAUUUAGCUGUUGGUUUGGUUAGGCGGCGAGGGAUUUGAUUAGGAGAAUGAGAUUAGGGUUUGUUUAUAUUGAAGGAAUAUUGAGGUUGGAAAUGGCUCUGAUAAGGUGUACAAGUAAGAGGUUGAAGAUGGUGAAGGGAUGGUGGUGGUUGAAAGUGAUUUGUUGAUGUUAAAACAAAUUUUAGGUUUAUUAGUAUUUAUGUGUGUUUCUAGGUUUAUUCAAGUAUUGAAGUUUGUU